rnacentral:rRNA from 1 species
AUUGAACGCUGGCGGCAUGCCUUACACAUGCAAGUCGAACGGCAGCACGGGGGCAACCCUGGUGGCGAGUGGCGUACGGGUGAGUAAUGCAUCGGAACGUGUCCUCUUGUGGGGGAUAACCAGUCGAAAGACUGGCUAAUACCGCAUGAGCUCGAGAGAGGAAAGCGGGGGACCGCAAGGCCUCGCGCGAGAGGAGCGGCCGAUGUCCGAUUAGCGAGUUGGCGGGGUAACGGCCCACCAAGGCGACGAUAGGUAGCUGGUCGGAGGGGACGACCAGCCACACUGGGACUGAUGCACGGCCCAGACUCCUACGGGAGGCAGCAGUGGGGAAUUUUGGACAAUAGGCGCAAGCCUGAUCCAGCCAUGCCGCGUGGGUGAAGAAGGCCUUCGGGUUGUAAAGCACUUUCGGGCGGAACGAAAUCGCGCGGAUGAACAAUCCGCGUGGAUGACGGUACCGCAAGAAGAAGCACCGGCUAACUACGUGCCAGCCGCCGCGGUAA